UCGAGCGCACCCUUCGGGGCGAGCGGCGGACGGGUUAGUAACGCGUGGGAACGUGCCCUUCUCUACGGAAUAGCCUCGGGAAACUGAGAGUAAUACCGUAUACGCCCUUCGGGGGAAAGAUUUAUCGGAGAAGGAUCGGCCCGCGUCUGAUUAGAUAGUUGGUGGGGUAAUGGCCUACCAAGUCUACGAUCAGUAGCUGGUUUUAGAGGAUGAUCAGCAACACUGGGACUGAGACACGGCCCAGACUCCUACGGGAGGCAGCAGUGGGGAAUCUUAGACAAUGGGCGAAAGCCUGAUCUAGCCAUGCCGCGUGAGUGAUGAAGGCCUUAGGGUCGUAAAGCUCUUUCGCCAGGGAUGAUAAUGACAGUACCUGGUAAAGAAACCCCGGCUAACUCCGUGCCAGCAGCCGCGGUAAUACGGAGGGGGUUAGCGUUGUUCGGAAUUACUGGGCGUAAAGCGCGCGUAGGCGGAUUGGAAAGUUGGGGGUGAAAUCCCGGGGCUCAACCUCGGAACUGCCUCCAAAACUACUAGUCUAGAGUUCGAGAGAGGUGAGUGGAAUUCCGAGUGUAGAGGUGAAAUUCGUAGAUAUUCGGAGGAACACCAGUGGCGAAGGCGGCUCACUGGCUCGAUACUGACGCUGAGGUGCGAAAGUGUGGGGAGCAAACAGGAUUAGAUACCCUGGUAGUCCACACCGUAAACGAUGAAU
rnacentral:rRNA from 1 species